AUUGAACGCUGGCGGCAGGCCUAACACAUGCAAGUCGAACGAGUGGCGGACGGGUGAGUAAUGUCUGGGAAACUGCCCAAUGGAGGGGGUUACCUACUGGAAACGGUAGCUAAUACCGCAUACCAUCGGAUGUGCCCAGAUGGGAUUACCUAGUAGGUGGGGUAACGGCUCACCUAGGCGACGUUCCCUAGCUGGUCUGAGAGGAUGACCAGCCACACUGGAACUGAGACACGGUCCAGACUCCUACGGGAGGCAGCAGUGGGGAAUAUUGCACAAUGGGAGCAAGCCUGAUGCAGCCAUGCCGCGUGUAUGAAGAAGGCCUUCGGGGUGUAAAGUACUUUCAGCGAGGAGGCGUUACUCGCAGAAGAAGCACCGGCUAACUCCGUGCCAGCAGCCGCGGUAAUAC
rnacentral:rRNA from 1 species